rnacentral:rRNA from 1 species
CCUACGGGUGGCAGCAGUGGGGAAUAUUGCACAAUGGGGGAAACCCUGAUGCAGCAACGCCGCGUGAGUGAAGAAGUAUUUCGAUAUGUAAAGCUCUAUCAGCAGGGAAGAAGAUGACGGUACCUGAGUAAGAAGCCCCGGCUAACUACGUGCCAGCAGCCGCGGUAAUACGUAGGGGGCAAGCGUUAUCCGGAUUUAUUGGGUUAAAAGGGGGCGCAGGCGGAGGAACAAGUCAGCGGUAAAAUUGGGAGGCUCAACCGCGUAGAGCCGUUGAAAAUGGUUUUCUUGAGUGAGCGAGAGGUAGGAGGAAUGCGUGGUUUAGCGGUGAAAUGCAUAGAUAUCACGCAGAACUCCGAUUGCGAAGGCAGCAUACCGGCGCUCAACUGACGCUGAUGCACGAAAGUGUGGGUAUCGAACAGGAUUAGAUACCCUAGUAGUC